GGGUUAAGUCCGUAACGAGCGCAACCCUGUCCUUAGUUACCAGCACGUUAUGUGGGCACUCUAAGGAGACUGCCGGUGACAAACCGGAGGAAGGUGGGGAGUGACGUCAAGUCAUCAUGGCCCUUACGGCCUGGGCUACACACGUGCUACAAUGGUCGGUACAAAGGGUUGCCAAGCCGCGAGGUGGAGCUAAUCCCAUAAACCGAUCGUAGUCCGGAUCGCAGUCUGCAACUCGACUGCGUGAAGUCGGAAUCGCUAGUAAUCGUGAAUCAGAAUGUCACGGUGAAUACGUUCCCGGGCCUU
rnacentral:rRNA from 1 species